GGCCCGUUAUCCGGGUCCGGGACCCUGCGUGGUGGGGAGUUUGACUGGGGCGGGUCGCCUCCCAAAGUGUAACGGAGGCGCGCGAAGGUAGGCUCAGACCGGUCGGAAAUCGGUCGUUGAGUGCAAUGGCAGAAGCCUGCCUGACUGCAAGACUGACAAGUCGAGCAGAGACGAAAGUCGGUCAUAGUGAUCCGGUGGUCCCAAGUGGGAGGGCCAUCGCUCAACGGAUAAAAGGUACGCUGGGGAUAACAGGCUGAUGAUGCCCAAGAGUCCAUAUCGACGGCAUCGUUUGGCACCUCGAUGUCGGCUCAUCUCAUCCUGGGGCUGGAGCAGGUCCCAAGGGUAUGGCUGUUCGCCAUUUAAAGAGGUACGUGAGCUGGGUUUAGAACGUCGUGAGACAGUUCGGUCCCUAUCUGCCGUGGGUGUAGGAGACUUGAGAAGAGUUGCCCCUAGUACGAGAGGACCGGGGUGAACGCUCCACUGGUGGACCAGUUGUCGUGCCAACGGCAGUGCUGGGUAGCUAUGAGCGGACAGGAUAACCGCUGAAGGCAUCUAAGCGGGAAGCCCCCUUCAAAACAAGGUCUCCCUUGAGAGCCGUGGAAGACCACCACGUCGAUAGGCCGGAGGUGUAAGCGCAGCAAUGCGUUCAGCUGACCGGUACUAAUGGCUCGAUAGGCUUGAUUUGAUCCAG
rnacentral:rRNA from 1 species